rnacentral:rRNA from 1 species
CAAAAACAUCUUUUCUUGUUAGUUUUUGAAGUAUGGCCUGCCCACUGACGUUUAUAGAGGUUGAAGGGCCGCGGUAUUUUGACCGUGCAAAGGUAGCAUAAUCAUUAGUUCUUUAAUUGUGAUCUGGUAUGAAUGGCUUGACGAGAUAUGAGCUGUCUUAAAGGUAUUUUCUAUUGAAUUUAGUUUUUGAGUUAAAAUUCUUAGAUGUUUUUAUGGGACGAGAAGACCCUAUAGAGUUUUACAUCUAGCUCUUCUUUUUUAUUAUGUUUGUUUAUUUAUUUUGAGUUGGUUAGGUGUUUUGUUGGGGUGAUGGGAGGAACAAAAUUAACUCCUCUUUGAUUUUGUAUAUUUAUUUAUAUUUGU